rnacentral:rRNA from 1 species
UACGGAGGGAGCUAGCGUUGUUCGGAAUUACUGGGCGUAAAGCGCACGUAGGCGGCUUUGUAAGUUAGAGGUGAAAGCCCGGGGCUCAACUCCGGAACUGCCUUUAAGACUGCAUCGCUUGAAUCCAGGAGAGGUGAGUGGAAUUCCGAGUGUAGAGGUGAAAUUCGUAGAUAUUCGGAAGAACACCAGUGGCGAAGGCGGCUCACUGGACUGGUAUUGACGCUGAGGUGCGAAAGCGUGGGGAGCGAACGAGG